rnacentral:rRNA from 1 species
UAGGGAAUCUUCCGCAAUGGACGAAAGUCUGACGGAGCAACGCCGCGUGAGUGAAGAAGGCUUUCGGUUCGUAAAACUCUGUUGUUAGGGAAGAAAAAAUGUAUAGUAACUAUAUACAAAAGAUACGGUACCUAACCAGAAAGCCACGGCUAACUACGUGCCAGCAGCCGCGGUAAUACGUAGGUGGCAAGCGUUGUCCGGAAUUAUUGGGCGUAAAGCGCGCGCAGGUGGUUUAGAAAGUCUGAUGUGAAAGCCCACGGCUCAACCGUGGAGGGUCAUUGGAAACUAAUAAACUUGAGUGCAGGAGAGAAAAGUGGAAUUCCUAGUGUAGCGGUGAAAUGCGUAGAGAUUAGGAGGAACACCGGUGGCGAAAGCGGCUUUUUGGGCUGCAACUGACACUGAGGCGCGAAAGCGUGGGGAGCAAACAGG